GACGAACGCUGGCGGCGUGCCUAAUACAUGCAAGUCGAGCGGACGAAUCGAAAGCUUGCUUUUGAUUCGUUAGCGGCGGACGGGUGAGUAACACGUGGGCAACCUGCCCUGUAGACGGGGAUAACACCGAGAAAUCGGUGCUAAUACCGGAUAACACGAAAUGUCGCAUGACGUUUCGUUGAAAGACGGCGCAAGCUGUCGCUACAGGAUGGGCCCGCGGCGCAUUAGCUAGUUGGUGAGGUAACGGCUCACCAAGGCGACGAUGCGUAGCCGACCUGAGAGGGUGAUCGGCCACACUGGGACUGAGACACGGCCCAGACUCCUACGGGAGGCAGCAGUAGGGAAUCUUCCGCAAUGGACGAAAGUCUGACGGAGCAACGCCGCGUGAGCGAAGAAGGCCUUCGGGUCGUAAAGCUCUGUUGUUAGGGAAGAACAAGUAACGCAGUAACGGGCGUUACCGUGACGGUACCUAACGAGAAAGCCACGGCUAACUACGUGCCAGCCGCCGC
rnacentral:rRNA from 1 species